GAUGCUAAUACCGGAUAACAACAGAUGAUGCCUAUCAACUGUUUAAAAGAUGGUUCUGCUAUCACUCUUGGAUGGACCUGCGGUGCAUUAGCUAGUUGGCAGGGUAACGGCCUACCAAGGCGAUGAUGCAUAGCCGAGUUGAGAGACUGAUCGGCCACAUUGGGACUGAGACACGGCCCAAACUCCUACGGGAGGCAGCAGUC
rnacentral:rRNA from 1 species